GUAAACGAUGGAUACUCGCUGCGGGCUAAAGAUUGUCCGUGGCUUAGCGAAAGCGAUAAGUAUCCCACCUGGGGAGUACGCCGGCAACGGUGAAACUCAAAGGAAUUGACGGGGGCCCGCACAAGUGGUGGAGCAUGUGGUUUAAUUCGAUGAUACGCGAGGAACCUUACCUAGGCUAGAAUGCGCGUGACCGGCUCAGAGAUGAGCCUUUCCUUCGGGACACAAAGCAAGGUGCUGCAUGGCCGUCGUCAGCUCGUGCCGUGAGGUGUUGGGUUAAGUCCCGCAACGAGCGCAACCCCUAUGGUUAGUUGCCAGCACGUAAUGGUGGGGACUCUAGCCAGACUGCCUGCGCAAGCAGUGAGGAAGGCGGGGACGACGUCAGGUCAUCAUGGCCCUUACGCCUAGGGCGACACACGUGCUACAAUGGACGGUACAGCGGGUAGCUACCGGGCGACUGGAUGCCAAUCUCGAAAAGCCGUUCUCAGUUCGGAUUGGAGUCUGCAACUCGACUCCAUGAAGCUGGAAUCACUAGUAAUCGCGCAUCAGCCAUGGCGCGGUGAAUACGUUCCCGGGCCUUGUACACACCGCCCGUCAAGCCAUGAAAGUCUGGUAGACCUGAAGCUGGUGCUCGUCACAGAAGCC
rnacentral:rRNA from 1 species